CAGCUUCAAAGCACAUCUGCUUGCCAGAGAACAGAGGACAUAAAUCCAGUUGUUGGCUUUCACUCUGCCCCGGAAACAGCUGGAUGAUCACACUGUGCGGAGAGCUCAAAUUGAGCAGCUUGAGCCGAUAACAGUAUUUAAGAGCUGUUUAGAUAGUCACAUGAAUAUGCAGGCCUUGAAGUGGUAUGGAUCAUGUGGAGGCUGAGGACUUGGUAUCAUGUUGGGCACAGAUGCUGCCUGACCAGCUGACUGUUUCCAGCGUUUUCCGUUUUGUUUCAGACUGCCAGUAUCUGCUGAUUUUGUUUUAAUCCACCAACGUGAGGAGCAAAGAGAAUGAGCAACAAAGACCAGUCUUGCAGCCACACUCAGAUUCUGAAAAAUCAAAGCAUUAAAUAAAGUUGUCCUUGUGUGGCUCAUUGUCCAUUUUUA